ACGCACGCUGGCGGCGUGCUUAACCCCUGCAAGUCGAACGGAAAGGCCCUGCUUUUGUGGGGUGCUCGAGUGGCGAACGGGUGAGUAACACGUGAGUAACCUGCCCUUGACUUUGGGAUAACUUCAGGAAACUGGGGCUAAUACCGGAUAGGAGCUCCUGCUGCAUGGUGGGGGUUGGAAAGUUUCGGCGGUUGGGGAUGGACUCGCGGCUUAUCAGCUUGUUGGUGGGGUAGUGGCUUACCAAGGCUUUGACGGGUAGCCGGCCUGAGAGGGUGACCGGCCACAUUGGGACUGAGAUACGGCCCAGACGCCUACGGGAGGCAGCAGUGGGGAAUAUUGCACAAUGGGCGGAAGCCUGAUGCAGCAACGCCGCGUGCGGGAUGACGGCCUUCGGGUUGUAAACCGCUUUCGCCUGUGACGAAGCGUGAGUGACGGUAAUGGGUAAAGAAGCACCGGCUAACUACGU
rnacentral:rRNA from 1 species